rnacentral:rRNA from 1 species
UUGGGGACCCGUCUUGAAACACGGACCAAGGAGUCUAACAUCUACGCGAGUGUUCGGGUGGCAAACCCGUGCGCGCAGUGAAAGCGAACGGAGGUGGGAGCCCCCUCGAGGGGCGCACCAUCGACCGAUCCUGAUGUCUUCGGAUGGAUUUGAGUAGGAGCGUAGCUGUGGGGACCCGAAAGAUGGUGAACUAUGCCUGAAUAGGGCGAAGCCAGAGGAAACUCUGGUGGAGGCUCGCAGCGGUUCUGACGUGCAAAUCGAUCGUCAAAUUUGGGUAUAGGGGCGAAAGACUAAUCGAACCAUCUGGUAGCUGGUUCCUGCCGAAGUUUCCCUCAGGAUAGCAGUAACGCGUAAUCAGUUUUAUGAGGUAAAGCGAAUGAUUAGAGGCAUUGGGGUUGAAACAACCUUAACCUAUUCUCAAACUUUAAAUAUGUAAGAAGCCCUUGUUUCUUAAGUGAACGUGGGCAUUAGAAUGGAGCGUUACUAGUGGGCCAUUUUUGGUAAGCAGAACUGGCGAUGCGGGAUGAACCGAACGCGAGGUUAAGGUGCCGGAAUACACGCUCAUCAGACACCACAAAAGGUGUUAGUUCAUCUAGACAGCCCGACGGUGGCCAUGGAAGUCGGAAUCCGCUAAGGAGGUGUGUAAAAAA